rnacentral:rRNA from 1 species
GUGAGGAAUUUUGCGCAAUGGGGGAAACCCUGACGCAGCGACGCCGCGUGGAGGAUGAAGGCCUUCGGGUCGUAAACUCCUGUCAGAGGUGAAGAAUCCCUGAGCAAUCAGGGUUGACGGUAACCUCAGAGGAAGCCCCGGCCAACUACGUGCCAGCAGCCGCGGUAAUACGUAGGGGGCAAGCGUUGCUCGGAAUUACUGGGCGUAAAGGGUGUGUAGGUGGCUGAGCAAGUCAGAGAUGAAAUCCCGAGGCUCAACUUCGGAAUUGUCUUUGAUACUGUUUAGCUUGAGGAUAGUUGAAGAGAAUGGAAUUCCCGGUGGAGCGGUGAAAUGCGUAGAUAUCGGGAGGAACACCUGAGGCGAAGGCGAUUCUCUAAGCUACUCCUGACGCUGAAACACGAAAGCUAGGGGAGCAAACGGGAUUAGAAACCCUAGUAGUCC